rnacentral:rRNA from 1 species
AUACGGAGGAUCCGAGCGUUAUCCGGAUUUAUUGGGUUUAAAGGGUGCGCAGGCGGCCAUUUAAGUCAGCGGUUAAAUCGUGGGGCUCAACCCCAUUCUGCCGUUGAUACUGGGUGGCUUGAUUGCGGUCGAGGUUGGCGGAAUUCGUUGUGUAGCGGUGAAAUGCAUAGAUAUGACGAAGAACACCGAUUGCGUAGGCAGCUGACCAGACCGCAAAUGACGCUCAUGCACGAAAGUGCGGGAAUCGAACAGGAUUAGAUACCCUGGUAGUCCGCACAGUAAACGAUGAAUACUUGUUUUCGGCGAUACAAUGUCGGAGGCAAAGCGAAAGCGAUAAGUAUUCCACCUGGGGAGUACGCCGGCAACGGUGAAACUCAAAUGAAUUGACGGGG